AUAGCCUUUCAGCUCUCUUAUUCUAAUAGGUCUGGCGCCUAGAGAGCGAAGCUCAACUAGGAUCCUUACAUCCAGCCUGGACACUUGUUCCCCAAUUAAGCAGGUGCCGAGAGAGCAUUGCUCGACCAGAGACCUUUCUCCGGCAGCAAACUUUUAUAACCUAGAGAGUUAUAAUCGACCAGGGCAAAAUCCACAAAUAACCUUUGUUACAUGUUUCUGAUUAUUACUGAUGCGCACGCAGUCUUGAUGCAACCCGUCAUGUGGCAUGUUCUACAGUCACCUCAUCUCACAGUCAUAAUCAUAACAUAUAUAUAAAAAGAAAUCAUAAAUAUACUAUUCAUAGGUAACACAAUUUAUUUGAUUACAUAUUGAGAAAUAGAGUUUAGUAAUAUCGGGUAAAGCAAACAUGCAAAAUAUCUAUAGAGAUAAUAAUAAUAGUAUUUAAAUAACAUUAUUAAAAUAUCGUAAAUAAUGAUAAUGAUACUCAUACAUAACAUUAAACAUUAAAUAUUGAAUGAAAUCUAGACAUGCCAAAGUACAAUUAUUAUAUGACUUUAACUCACAGUUCUGUCGCGCUCUGCAGUCUGCUCUAACGCCUCGGGUGGAGCUGGCGGGAUGGACGAAUUAUUAUUCACUAAAAAACUCGGUUAAUAGACAUUCUUAAAUUUUCGUAGGCCUAGACCUCUAGAUUAGGCUGCCUAAAAUUAUUUUAGACUCGAGAAUUCUGUCGAAAAUUCGGCAGAGCCUCCCCUAAAUUAUGGACAUUUACUCCCCUUACAACGGGUCCAGAACUUGCUAGAAACACUUCAAAUAUUCUGCGAUUAAUUUAACGGGAGUCAGGCCACCAAAACUGCAUUAUGUUUCUUGACUCCGCAACAUAACACAAUCACAAUUAAUUAAAUCCAACUAAUUUUUAAAUUAUCCAUCAUUGAUAAUUAAUAGCCAUAAUAUUUUUCUAGAAUUACAACAUAAUUUAUAGGGUCUAAAUAAAAUUAUACCGAGUCGAAAUUGUAAUAUUUCGCGUGUCCGGAAAGUACCAUGGUCCAGAAGCCGGUCCUACCAACAGUGUCAAAAUUUGAAUCCAGAAGCGCCUAUGUGAAGCUUGAGUUGUAGGAGUCCGAAAACAUGACAGUUUCGGCCGGAAACUCACCGGAAGGCACCAGAUUGGGGCCGGAAAGGUUCUACUCCAGUGAAGCCCCUCUAAAGCUGCCGGUGGAGGAAAUCAAUGAGGAGACUUGCUUUGGGGUGAUGAGGAGUCCGAAUCCAGCAUCGGAUUGCCGAAAGGAUGUCGGCAGGAGCCCGAAUCGACGACGGCAGCCUCUUUCGUCCUUCGUCGGCGUCGCGCGGAAGGGAGGGAGAAGGUUUGAAGGCUGUGCAGCAGCGGGAGGAAGGAAAAGAAAGAUGCGCGGCGGUGGCAACAGCUCGACGACACGUAGGUGGGCGGGGGAGAGGGCAAUUGGCAAGGAGAAGGGAAAAGGGGGAGGGGAAGGAGGAAGGGGAAGAAAGGAAAAGAAGGAGAGGGGGGAAAAGGGAAGGAAAGAA
rnacentral:lncRNA from 1 species